CAGUCGCCACGGUAAUACGAAGGGGGCUAGCGUUGUUCGGAUUUACUGGGCGUAAAGGGCGCGUAGGCGGACUGAUAAGUCAGGGGUGAAAUCCCAAGGCUCAACCUUGGAACUGCCUUUGAUACUGUUUGUCUUGAGUUCGAGAGAGGUAAGUGGAACUGCGAGUGUAGAGGUGAAAUUCGUAGAUAUUCGCAAGAACACCAGUGGCGAAGGCGGCUUACUGGCUCGAAACUGACGCUGAGGCGCGAAAGCGUGGGGAGCAAACAGGAUUAGAGACCCCUGUAGUCCCUGUCUCUUAUAC
rnacentral:rRNA from 1 species